GAACCUCUCUGAGAGAGGAACAGUUUGGGCCUCUGGACGCCAGGGCUGCAGCCCAGCAAACAACGGAAUAAAAAAGACCAGGAGAAGGAAGAUGAGACAGAAAUCUCUAUGUACACAUCAUUAAUCAGACAAGAUGAAUUCUCAAACUUGGAAGCGGGUUUCCUCCAAGCCAACCGAGAGAAGGAGCAGAAGGGAGAGACUGUGUCAGGAAUGGGUCACAAUCUGUAACGGACAACUUUCCAUACAAAUUCUCUCCCACCACAGAAGGCACUUGCUUCUCUCAUUGGCUUGCAAGGAGUUGGAGACCUGAUUCUUGAGGCUUCAAGAGGGAAGAUGGAGAGGACACCUUUCAAUGAACCACCUGUGGGGUGACCAUUCACCAGGCGCAUGGC